rnacentral:rRNA from 1 species
UACGUAGGGUGCGAGCGUUGUCCGGAAUUAUUGGGCGUAAAGAGCUCGUAGGCGGUUUGUUGCGUCUAUCGUGAAAACCUGCAGCUUAACUGUGGGCUUGCGGUGGAUACGGGCAGACUUGAGUUCGGUAGGGGAGACUGGAAUUCCUGGUGUAGCGGUGAAAUGCGCAGAUAUCAGGAGGAACACCGGUGGCGAAGGCGGGUCUCUGGGCCGAUACUGACGCUGAGGAGCGAAAGCGUGGGGGGAGCGAACAGG